AAAGGAAUAGACGGGGGCCCGCACAAGCGGUGGAGCAUGUGGUUUAAUUCGACGCAACGCGAAGAACCUUACCAGGUCUUGACAUCCCUUGACAGCGCAAGAGAUUGCGUGUUUCGCCUUCGGGCGGACAAGGAGACAGGUGGUGCAUGGUUGUCGUCAGCUCGUGUCGUGAGAUGUUGGGUUAAGUCCCGCAACGAGCGCAACCCUUAUUGCCAGUUGCCAGCAGUGAGAUGGGAACUCUGGCGAGACUGCCGGUUAUAAGCCGGAGGAAGGUGGGGAUGACGUCAAAUCAUCAUGCCCUUUAUGACCUGGGCUACACACGUGCUACAAUGGCCUGUACAAAGGGCAGCGAAGGGGCGACCUGGAGCCAAUCCCAAUAAAAGCAGGUCUCAGUUCGGAUUGCAGGCUGCAACUCGCCUGCAUGAAGUCGGAAUCGCUAGUAAUCGCGGAUCAGCAUGCCGCGGUGAAUACGUUCCCGGGCCUUGUACACACCGCCCGU
rnacentral:rRNA from 1 species